GUGACAGAUCAUGACCUGGGAGCCUAAAUCACUUCAGCAGAAAAAGUCAAGAUUGUUCAUCUUCUUGAAUUGUCAAGGUAUGAUUUUCUGGAUUACGUAUUCCUAUAUAUUGCAUGAGAUCGGUCCUCAAAAGUUUUAUUUUAAGAAAAAUUAAUUUUCCUCCAACAAUUGGUAUCAGAGCCAUCUCAUAUUAAUAUAUAAGAAUUUCGUAUGAAAUCAAUCUUGAUAUUUAUGUAUUAGAGUUAGAGGUGGCAAAAAUACCCGUCCGGUCCGGACCCGGACUGUACCCGGACGUUGUGGGCCGGGUAUUACCCGACCCAGGUAUGAAGCUGGGUCUUGGGCAUCACUUGAUAAACCCGGAACCCGGAUUUUAUUAAAAAAAUAUUGUAAAAUAUAUAUUAUUUUAAAUAUUUAUAUUUAUUUGACUCAUUUAUUAUACAUAUAUAAAUUUUUAAAUACUUAAAGUUUAUAUUUUCAUGUCAAAUUUUAUUGAAAUAAAUUUAAAACUUAUAAAAUUACCAAAAAAUAAAAAUAUAUACACAUAUAAUAUUAAAAAAAUAUAAAAUUCAGGUACUCGGAUUAAAACCCGGCCCGGCCCGGCCCGGGCCCGGACCCAGACCCGGACCGGUUUCAUCCGGGCAGGGUCCGGUCAUUGCAAUACCCGGACCCGGCCUGGGGUUUUGCCAACCCUAAUUAGAGUGGCACGAUUUAUUCAGAUAUAUAUUAUUUAUUUAAUAUAUGAAUAAAGCAUGCUUAUGGUUUGUCUUAAUUCAUCGUUAGAUUCUCUAUUGUAUUUUUUCUUUGGAUCUGUAACAAGAGGUGUAGUCUUUUAUCAUCAUAUUUCCCUCUUGAUUUAGUUGACUGUUAUAGAAGUUUUGUAAGCCAAAAUUGGCUUAGGAAAUUUGUAAAUCACUGGAAACUUACAGAAACUUGCACGAGACUGCUGGAAACAUGCGCUACAACUGCUAGAAACUUACAAAAACUCGCUGGAAACUGCUGGAAAUUACAGUGGAAACUUGCUGGAAUCUGCAGCAGCGCGUGCGGCCCGUGUUGCCAGCUGCGCGCGCUGCAACAAACGCUACAAGCAACCAUCACUGCAAGCAACGCUGCCAGCAGCUGCAGCGGCAAGCAACGUGCCUAGCAACGCAAGCGAAGAUGGUUGCAUGUGGAAGCUGCUGUCGGAAGGCGUCGUGGGACGUUUGGGAGCUUUUUAGUGAGGCGCCGGCGGUUAAAUCGACGUCGGAAAAUCAUGAACGAAGGUUGGACUUUGUAUCGGCGGCGGCUGGGGAGGAAAAUAUGGAUUUUGGGGUCUUUCAAUGGUUUUUAUCAUUGAGGUCCCUAUGGUUCAAUAGUAUUUUCCUUUUGACAGUUAAGUUUUAAAUUUUUGCAUUUAAGUCAAAAAAUAUUUUUGGGCUUAAUGAAUCGUAGUUUUAGGUCCAAUUGAAUUUGGACUUAAUGGAUUA
rnacentral:lncRNA from 1 species